GAGUGUCGAACAAUUGUUGAAAAAAAAUUGAACUUCCUGUAGUCCAAGUGAGUGCAUUCUGAAGUAAUAUAUGCAGAUUGGGAAAGUCUCGGUGGGUACGGAUGGAAGCCCAAAGGUGAAGACCUAUAUAUUUUUAGUUGGGGGGUCUGAACUAAGCGAAGACCACUAUCAAGAAGAAUACUAUUCUGACUAAUUCUCUGAAUGAGCGAGC
rnacentral:lncRNA from 1 species